GACGAACGCUGGCGGCGUGCCUAAUACAUGCAAGUAGAACGCUGAAGGAGGAGCUUGCUUCUCUGGAUGAGUUGCGAACGGGUGAGUAACGCGUAGGUAACCUGCCUGGUAGCGGGGGAUAACUAUUGGAAACGAUAGCUAAUACCGCAUAAGAUUGACUAUUGCAUGAUAGUCAGUUAAAAGGUGCAAUUGCAUCACUACCAGAUGGACCUGCGUUGUAUUAGCUAGUUAGUGGGGUAACGGCUCACCAAGGCGACGAUACAUAGCCGACCUGAGAGGGGGAUCGGCCACACUGGGACUGAGACACGGCCCAGACUCCUACGGGAGGCAGCAGUAGGGAAUCUUCGGCAAUGGACGGAAGUCUGACCGAGCAACGCCGCGUGAGUGAAGAAGGUUUUCGGAUCGUAAAGCUCUGUUGUAAGAGAAGAACGAGUGUGAGAGUGGAAAGUUCACACUGUGACGGUAUCUUACCAGAAAGGGACGGCUAACUACGUG
rnacentral:rRNA from 1 species